UGUCAGAUGAAAAACAACAACACAAGAAGCGAGCAUGUCAAUCAUGGGUAUUAUUAUUGUUCAACUUUUCCAAUAGUGUUGCAGAAAACAUGGUUGUUGCUGAUUGAACGGAUGUUAUGUUUUCAAAGAGAAUUCAAGAUCGUCUUUUAUGUAUUUAUAUGUGCUGAUGCAAUAAAAUUUGAUUGAAUCUUCUUUGAAAUUUAUUUCAGUACUAAUGCAUAACUAAGUAAUGAUAUCUAGCUUGAGCAGCUCAACUACGACGCACUGGAUACAGGCUAGGUAUACUGACAUCUUACGCAUAUCUUCGCUUUUAUUUCAGUUAUCACUUUUGGUGUAAAACUCUUUGUCUUCCAUUUUAUACAUGAUGUUACUUAGCUAUAUCAGUUAUGUUGUCCUGACCGGAUAGUUAUCUUUUCUGUAAGCGACACAGGUGGUUGCUGAUUGGUUGACAUUUUAAUUUGGACCUUACUUAAGUCGUACAAGUGUAGUGACACCAUUUUCCAUGUUGGUUUGUUUUGGUAAGCAUUUUCAUGUAUAAAAUGGAAUUGCCGGUCUGCGACUUUAUUACAUAUAGCUUUCAGCCUGAUUGAUCUUCAACAAAACAACAAACAAAAAGGAAAAGUAUGAUUACCGCAUAUCCCUGCUACUGCUCGUAUGGUAGUAUUUAGUAUAUAUCAUUAUUUGAUAUUGCAACUAAUUUAAUUCUUGUCAGGAUGCUUGUCCUAUGAAUGUGAUGCCCUCCACAAGAAACAGCCAGCUGCAUUAGGCAGACAUAAAUCUUCUUUGUUUCGGAACAUGGUGGCCCUUUGGUAGAGAAAUAGACGGGCGCAGUAACGCGUGCCAUCAAUGCUCUAGUAAAAGUAGCAAGGG